rnacentral:rRNA from 1 species
GAUGAACGCUAGCGGCAGGCUUAAUACAUGCAAGUCGAGCGGGAAACUUCGGUUUCCAGCGGCGGACGGGUGAGUAACACGUGGGCAACCUGCCUCACAAUGAGGGAUAGCCUUCCGAAAGGAAGAUUAAUACCUCAUAACACAAGAGAAACGCAUGUUUCUCUUGCCAAAGAAUUUCGUUGUGAGAUGGGCCCGCGGCGCAUUAGCUUGUUGGUGAGGUAACGGCUCACCAAGGCUUCGAUGCGUAGCCGACCUGAGAGGGUGAUCGGCCACAUUGGAACUGAGACACGGUCCAGACUCCUACGGGAGGCAGCAGUGGGGAAUAUUGCACAAUGGAGGAAACUCUGAUGCAGCAACGCCGCGUGAGUGAUGAAGGUCUUCGGAUUGUAAAGCUCUGUCUUCUGGGACGAUAAUGACGGUACCAGAGGAGGAAGCCACGGCUAACUACGUGCCAGCAGCCGCGGUAACAC